GAGUUUGAUCGUGGCUCAGAUUGAACGCUGGCGGCAGGCCUAACACAUGCAAGUCGAGCGGAUGACGGGAGCUUGCUCCUUGAUUCAGCGGCGGACGGGUGAGUAAUGCCUAGGAAUCUGCCUGGUAGUGGGGGACAACGUUUCGAAAGGAACGCUAAUACCGCAUACGUCCUACGGGAGAAAGCAGGGGACCUUCGGGCCUUGCGCUAUCAGAUGAGCCUAGGUCGGAUUAGCUAGUUGGUGGGGUAAUGGCUCACCAAGGCGACGAUCCGUAACUGGUCUGAGAGGAUGAUCAGUCACACUGGAACUGAGACACGGUCCAGACUCCUACGGGAGGCAGCAGUGGGGAAUAUUGGACAAUGGGCGAAAGCCUGAUCCAGCCAUGCCGCGUGUGUGAAGAAGGUCUUCGGAUUGUAAAGCACUUUAAGUUGGGAGGAAGGGCAGUAAGUUAAUACCUUGCUGUUUUGACGUUACCGACAGAAUAAGCACCGGCUAACUCUGUGA
rnacentral:rRNA from 1 species